CUUCCCUCAUCUCACUGAAAGGAGAAUGCUGGAAGGUGCUAGUAAGAUGACAGUCCGUCUAAGGACUCCAGAACUGAAGGAACUGUUUUAUGGCAAUGCAUGUCACUUCCCUAACUCAACUGGAAAAGGAGACAAAAACCUAGUGUUUUCAACCCUCAAGCUAGCAAGAAAACACAGCCCAGGGUGCCUGAGGGGCAUGUAGCAAAAGUGAUCCCAACCACACCACGCAAACUAGCCAAGAAACCUUUUUGCCUUCACACAUCUGAGAGUCCCUGAGAAGCCAGAGACAACACAGAGGCAGCAAAACACCAACAGGAGAGUCCCAGCAUCAGUUCCUGGCCACAGAAACCCUCCUGAGCAGCAGGCAGAACAGAAUCCACUACAGCAAUCAGCCUGCCAGAGAAGCCUCUGCCCCUGUGGCCUGAGGUUCCACUUUCCCCAGACUUGCUGCUGCCGCCACCAUUAGCGCCGACGCCAACGGAACCAGCGCUGCUGUCACCCUCCAUGCACCUACCCACCCUCCAA